CGAAGGGGGCUAGCGUUGCUCGGAAUUACUGGGCGUAAAGGGAGCGUAGGCGGACAGUUAAGUCAGAGGUGAAAGCCCAGGGCUCAACCCUGGAAUUGCCUUUGAUACUGAUUGUCUUGAGUAUGGGAGAGGUGUGCGGAACUCCGAGUGUAGAGGUGAAAUUCGUAGAUAUUCGGAAGAACACCAGUGGCGAAGGCGGCACACUGGCCCAUUACUGACGCUGAGGCUCGAAAGCGUGGGGAGCAAACAGGAUUAGAUACCCUGGUAGUCCACGCCGUAAACGAUGAGUGCUAGUUGUGGGGGACAUACAACCUCCGCGCCGGAGCAAACGCAUUAAGUAUCCCGCCUGGGGAGUACGGUCGCAAGGCUG
rnacentral:rRNA from 1 species